rnacentral:rRNA from 1 species
UACAGAGGGUGCGAGCGUUGUCCGGAAUCACUGGGCGUAAAGGGCGCGUAGGUGGCGACCCAAGUCGAUGGUGAAAGCUCGUCGCUCAACGACGAGUCGGGCCACCGAUACUGGGUUGCUCGAGCACUGUAGAGGCAGAUGGAAUUCCGGGUGUAGCGGUGGAAUGCGUAGAGAUCCGGAAGAACACCGGUGGCGAAGGCGGCAUCCUGGACCGACACUGACACUGAGGAGGCGAAAGCCAGGGGAGCAAACGGG